rnacentral:rRNA from 1 species
CGAUAGCCGGUCUGAGAGGGGGUCCGGCCACAUCUGGGACUGACCAACGGCCCCGACUACUACGGGAGGCAGCAGUGGGGAAUAUUGCACAAUGGGCGAAAGCCUGACGCAGCGACGCCGCGUGAGGGAUGACGGCCUUCGGGUUGUAAACCUCUUUCAGCAGGGACGAAGCCCAAGUGACGGUACCUGCAGAAGAAGGACCGGCUAACUACGUGCCAGCAGCCGCAGCCGAA